AGUGGCAAAGAGCGGUUAUUCAUUUGGCAGCUGUCGGUGGAGUUGCUGACACCGUGAAGUAUUCGAUGAAAUAUGAUGCACACCUGAAUGCCAGGGAUAAGGUGAGGAUAGAUAUGUGAGUUUGACUAAUGGUCGCGUGUCGCGGGUAAAAAGUCGCGUGUAGAAUGUCGCGGGUCGCGGGUGAAAUGUCGCGGGUAAAAAGUCGCGGGUCGUAAAAAAGCUCCAAACCAUGUAUUUUAUUGAGUCGCGGGUUGAAUAAAGUGUGUAAAAAUCACGUUAUCAUUUAGUAAACAACUAUAGGAUUGCUUCAAUACGAAAUAUUUCAAUACGAAAUAUUUCCCAAGAGCCUUUUGUCUUGAUUUAAUAAGUUUGACUAAUGGUCGCGUGUCGCGGAUAAAAAGUCGCGUGUCGCGGGUAGAAUGUCGCGGAUAAAAUGUCGCGGGUAAAAAGUCACGGGUCGUAAAAGAGCUCCAAACCGUGUAUUUUAUUGAGUCCCGGGUUGAAUAAAGUGUGUAAAAUCACGUUAUCAUUUAGUAAACAACUAUAUAAGAUUGCUUCAAUACGAAAUGUUGCCCAAGAGCCUUUUGUCAUGAUUUAAUGGUUCUAUAUAAACGUGCCAGAAGCCUAAAACUUGAAAGAAUAAUUUCAAUAUGUUAAACCAACAAUUGUACCAUGACAAAAAUCCUCUAAUAAAAACAUAUGUUCUGAAAGAAACAAACUAGACUUUGGUAGAAAUAAAUUCAGUUUACCACUACUAUUACAAUCAGUUUUAUACCAAUUUAAAAACAACCAUAUAGUAUCACAAAUAAUAGAUAUAUCCAUGCUAGGACAUUAUAAAAGUACAUUAUGAUUCACCAACAACCCGGAUAUUUAAGUCGCUGUUCUCUAGCACUUGUUUCUGGAAUGUACUGAUCGAUGCGCAGAGACUUGACGAAUAGCGGAUUUUUACGCCUGAUAUGGUAGAAAUUGGAUGGUAAUAUGUAUUACUAAAAUCAGGACUAUAAACAUAGGAAUGUGUAACAGGAUCCUUUUGCAUUACAGUCUAUCAACGUGCUUUACAAUAAUGUUAUAUGGUUCUUGUCUAUAUUUAUCUAGAAACUCGCAAUUACAGCCAUAACUUCUUCGAACAACUAUUGAUAAAACCAUGACUAAAUGUUAAUAUGAUUUUUACACACUUUAUUCAACGCGCGACUCAAUAAAAUACACUGUUUAGAACUUUUUACGAUCCGCGACUUUUUACCCGCGACCCGCGACAUUUUACCCGCGACAUUUUACCCGCGACCCGCGACAUUUUACCCGCGACCCGCGACUUUUUACCCGCGACUUUUUACCCGCGACUUUUUACCCGCGACACGCGACCCGCGACCAUUAGUCAAACUCUAGAUAUGUAUGUAUGUUGGCCCCUUGUAUAGACUUGCUCUAUGUGUAUGCAUGUCAUCCCACUGAAUUUCAUGCAACAUAACGUACAGUAGACAGGCAAUAGGAUAGAUAUAUGUACGUUUGUCAGAUGUAGUCUAUCAUUACAUCCGUGUCACCUGUAUUGCACCCAACAACAUGACUGAUCUAUGUACAUAAUGGAACCAUAUAUUAACACGGUCAAGAGUUUUUAAAGCCAUAAAAAUUUACUCGUGGUAACGGGGUGAUGGUAUUAACACAGGCUUGGGCAUAUAAAGGUGCGUGGAUACUUGUAUGCAUGCCUCAUAUUAACUUUAUGCACGCAAUUAAAUAAACCGUAAAAAAUUAUGCAGUUGAAAAUUAGCAAAUAUUGAAGGUGCGUGUAUUAAGUGUUUCCAUUAACAUGUUCUGACAUGCUUACUUGUUACUACAAAAUGGCAAUUAAAAUAAAGCCUAUCAAGUCUUUUAUAGUUGUAACAUUUUGUUUUAGGACGGUAAAACGGUACUUGAAUUGGCAACCGACGCAGGACAUACUAUAGUCGUGGAAUUAUUACAGACCUGGGAUAAGGUAAGGAUAGAUAUGUAUGUUGAUCCCAUUUAUAGACUUGGUCUAUGUGUGUGUCAUUCCACUGAAUUUCACCCAACAUAAUGUAGAUAGGACAAUAGGAUAGAUAUAUAUUCACGUUUGUCAAUAAUUACAUUUGAUUCACCUGUAUUGCCCCCAACAUGCAUGACUGAUAUAUGUAGCCUACAUAGUGGACCCUAGCUAUAUUAAGAGGGCGUCUCUGUAAGAGCGGACCACUGGAUCUGGGCUUCAAAAAUAGAUUUCUCUUAUACUUUUACCGUCGAUACUCUCAUCUAUCCUAACUACGAAACCGGAGUUAAGAUCGUUCUAACGUGGUUUUUACAACCGCUAUGCGAGUUUUUGUCCCAGGACCCAAGUUAAUUAAAAUAUGCCAGUUUCUGGAAUAGCCGGAGCCUACAAUCACAGUCCGCUUUCUCAAUUUUCUCUGCGAAUCAGAGCUUCGUUUUCAGGUCUGAGCUGCACUAGAGUGCUCUUUCUACUAAGAAAUAGUAAUAUAUAGCUGUUUAGUUGCACCUGGCAAAUAAAAAAAAAAUACUAAUCGAGACCCUUCAACGCAUGAUAUCAAAUUCGAGAAUUAUAGGCCCUAAAACAUUGCAGAAUUCUCAUUUGUGGCACCUGCGCCCAGGUUCUAAAUCGCUUUUUAACUUUGAAGUAGGAUGCUAUUCCAUACAUCUACACAAUAAAAUUUGCGGCACAUGGUAUUUCUAAGAAUUCAGGAAGUUGACAAUUUUUGCAUUUUUUAGCUAUAUUUCUGCGUGUGCAUGACACAAGAAUCCAAUAUUAAAGCUGUUGUUUUGUUUUGUUUAUUAGCCUCGCUAUUAUUGCCGAAAAAUCAACAGCACGUUGAAGACCUAUUCCUAAAUGUCCUUUGUCUGAUUCGUAUUUGAUGGCAAAUAAAUCCUGUUAAGCAGUCAAAAUGACAAAUUAUAGCCCAACAAAGACAGAAAUACAAAGACAGCGAUGCACAGGAACAAUUGUCAUGGCAUAUAAACUCGAUAAAAGAACCAUGCUUUUAUAAGAACAGAAUAAACCAGACACAGUACUAAAAUGCGGUGCUUUACAAAUAAAACUUUCCGGCGUUUCCGCCUACGAGCUGUGCUACAAGCAAAGGAUAUAUUUUGUAGUACGCUACAUUCCUACUGUUGGCUGGCAGUUGUUCCCACGCUUGGUUAUAACUUCGCUUUAAAACCUUGAAAAUAAACUAUUGUCUGAUCAAAAUACUAUCAAGAUUAAGAGAAAAGUGAGACGAAUCCAUUCGUAUACGGCCGAAAAAGAGAAAACAAACGACAGGAAAGUUAUCAAGGAUCAAACCUACUGCAUUUUUAAUUAGUUCUAAUAAUUUUGAGCGAUUUGUCACUUGUCAACAAUACAACUUCGCUUGACUUUCAAAGGCUAUAAAUCGCUAGACUACUGCUAUUUAGUAAUGAAUUUGGCAUCCGUAAGUACAAUUUCGUACGCUGAUUCGAACAACGGUAUUUUUUCCUCGUUGAGACACUUGGGUGCUCAUACCAGACCGUCUGCCGUGGUAGCUGUGAUAAACUUGGCACAGAGCGAAGGACACCGCAAUUUUGCAAAAGGGUACUACAGGGUGUAUAAAAUGAAAAACUGAACAGAUAUGAAUGUGCUUAGCUCUCAAUUUCGCAUAUAUGGGUACUUGUAAUAUAGAAAAAAAUUUCCCGAACCUAAAUUUUGUGAACCGGGGAUGUCUUUUCAAACAAACAAAAAGCUGGCUUGUGCAUAAAAUUUAAAAGCUUUAAUCAUAUUUUGAGUUAAUAGAUGGAACAUUUGUUGGGUUUUUAAUUACUGUACAAAAUUGCAGACAAUUUGCAUUAGUCUAAGCCCUUUAACUAUUCACGCAAACUUACAUGUCUUUGCCUAAUUUGCAUAUGUCAGCAAUAUGCAAAUUAGGUAAUGCGAAAGGCUGAUUUUUUAGGGAAAAAUGAAUAGUUAAAGCCUUAACCUAAAGCAAAUUGUCUGACAUUUUGCACAUUAUUUAAAAACCUAACACGCAGAGAAAAUAGAGAAAGCGGACUAUGAGUGUAGGCUUCGGCGAUUUCAGAAACUGGCAUAUUUUAAUUAACUUGGGUCCUGGGACAAAAACUCGCAUAACGGUUGUGAAAACCACGUUAGAACGAUCUUAACUCCUGUUUUGUAGUUAGGAUAGAUGAGAGUAUCGACGGUAGAAAUAUAAGAGAAAUCUAUUUUUGAAGCCUAGAUCCAGUGGUCCGCUCUUACAGAGACGCCCUCUUAAUACUUUCGUGACGACUAACGCUUGUCUUAGAGGACGCGCAGUGUUUCAAUUCUAUUUCAGAACCAUCCUCAGAGAUACGAAAAACCAGUUUCAUAUUAUUCAGUUUCAUAUUAUUAUUUCAUAGAAUAAUAUGAAACUGGUUUUUCGUAUCUCUGAGGGUGGUUCUAUAUUAAUACGAUCAAGAAUUUAGGGCCAUUAAAAUUUACUCUUGGUAACAGGGUGAUGGUAUUAACACAAGCCUGGCCACAUGAAAGCCACAUGAUGUACUUAUAUGCUUGCGUCAUUUUAGCUUCAUGCACGCAAUUGCAAAACAGUAAAGAAUUAUAACUGAAGAGACCAGCUAGAUUAACACAACCAAAACUGUGUAUUGGAAAUGGGUAUAGGGCUUUCCAAUAUAUUUCAAAAUUUUUGCUGCCAUAUGAAUGUUUGUGUAUAGUAUAACUCAAAACUAUAUACAGCUUACAAGCUAGUGAAUUGUGUGAGAUAACCAUUGUUUCUUGUAUAUAAUCUCCGUAUAUGGAGAACUUUUUUCUUUCACAAUAAUUAUAAUAUGACUGCAUGCUAUCAAACUCUCCUCCACUUCCACUUUACUGUUUUGCAAUGUCGCACAGUGGCACUAAAUUAUCUCGUAGAUUAUUUUACUUAUAUCUUAUAUAAGACUUAUGAUUUUUACCAUAUAACUGAAAUUGUUUAAUAUUUACUAAUUUGAUUUUGAGUCGAAUCUUGAUUUUAACCUAUAUUUGAUUUUAACCUAUUUGAUUUUAACCGUUUUUUUAGGCUGAACGAAACGCAUGUAACCUACAAUAACUUUAAAGGACUGGUUUAGACUCAUGGCCUUCGCCAUUAUUGAUGGGUUGUUUCAACUAUAAAGAAUAGGUUAUAUUUGUAUCAACCAAAUCUUAUAGGUUAAGUUGACCAAAUAUUAUUGGUUAAAAGAGGGUCCUGAAGGGGUAAAAUGGGAACUGGGAUUGAUCUAUUUUUAGACUGGGAAAAUGGGAUUUGGGUUGCUGGGACUGGGAUUUGGGGACUGGGAAUGGGAAAUGAAGUCCUCAAAAAUGGGAAUGGGAUUGAGGUAAUGCGAGUCGAUUCCCAAUUUUUCCACGUUUUAAGUAUUUUAAAAUACAAUUUUGAUCCGUUUUUGGUGUCUUUGGUCAUCAUUUUUGUUGUUAACUAUAUUAUUGACAGCACUACCUGCAAACAGACAUACUCUGGCGCCCGCACGCUGAUCAUAUUCAGCAAAUUUUCUCCCAGUACCGCAGACUCGCAUUUUCCAGCGGACGUGCAGUAAAAAAUUGAAAGUUUUGCAUUUUGCAGCAGCUCUGCAUUUUGCACAGAACUGGCCAUUUUGUGUAAGGUGUUCGCUGACAAUACGAGCCCGCACGAGUGGGAGUAAUUUCGCUAAAUUUGGCCAACGUGCCGGAAUUCUGGGUUUUCUGAUUAUGCGUGUCCCCAAGUCAGAUGCACAGCGGAAUAUAUGCCUGGUUUCCAGUAUAUACUUCAUUUGACCCUUAGUAUAUAUCUCAAAGGCAAAGCACAACAAAAAAUACCGUCAUGUCGGACAUGUCGGAAACAAGUUACUUAACCAAAGUGGUCCGAAGUAAAUCCCAUGUCCUCGACCUGUAGUAACGGGCUUAAUUCAGUGGCAAGAGACAGAGCAUUAACCGCUUCUGCCACACGUUGCGCACAUACGGUGGCUUAAAAGGUCCCAAAACUGUUUAUUCUACCGAUAAAUAACGUUUUUGCAUCUACUGAUUUUCAAUCUGAAGCUGCAUUGUCAGGACGUACGUCCGUCGAUGUCGCAAACAGACAGGUGAUGACAUAUUGAUGACGUAUCGAUGUAAUGCAUUGCGAGCAUAGAAAUUGCGAGCUAAAGUCGGUUAUCUACGGUUAGUUCCGCUGUUGCCCAUAAAUGGUUUUGUAAAUAACACGAGCGAAGUGCGAUACGAAGAAUGCCGUAUAACUGCGCGAGACGAUGACGACUUUGUAUCAUAUCUUCGGUUCGGUGCACAAAAGUUUUAGUCAAUAUCAAGCGAGAUCGUAUCAAUAACACGCGAGUACAAUAAAAUGUUUUUUCAAUAUUAACACGAGUACAAUAAUCAAUAACAAUAAUAACUGCGUGAGCGGAUGACGACUUUGUAAAAGUUCAUGUCUUCGACGGGUACUCAAUAAAAUGGUUUUGUCAAUAACACGAGCGGAGUGCAAUACGAAGAAUGCCGUAUAACUGCGCGAGAGGAUGACGACUUUGUAUGUUCAUAUCUUCGGUUCAGUGCACAAUAGUUUUAGUCAUUAUCAACAUUGUAGCGAUUGUAGCCUUUGAAAGACAAAUUCUAAUAAUAAAUAUUAAAGCCCAGCAAAGUGCUUUUAAAAGAGCCAUAAACCUUUAAAUUAAUUUUUUUUUAAUAA